rnacentral:lncRNA from 1 species
CCCUUUCACUCAUCACCAUGGAUAAUCCAAUAUGGUACCAUUGUUGGGUCCAGGAACGACAACAACUCCGAAACCUAAAACUCAAAGACUCCUUCAAAAUCGAAGUUAAAGCCCUCCUUCGAUAUUACCUCCCAAUCAAUGAUCCUAACUCUCAUUCACCUAUCAUAGAUACAAUAUCCUUGUUCCAAACCUCUAUCACCCUACCCUGCAAAC